rnacentral:rRNA from 1 species
UACGUAGGGCGCAAGCGUUAUCCGGAAUUAUUGGGCGUAAAGAGCUCGUAGGCGGUUUGUCGCGUCUGCCGUGAAAGUCCGGGGCUCAACUCCGGAUCUGCGGUGGGUACGGGCAGACUAGAGUGAUGUAGGGGAGACUGGAAUUCCUGGUGUAGCGGUGAAAUGCGCAGAUAUCAGGAGGAACACCGGUGGCGAAGGCGGGUCUCUGGACCGGUACUGACGCUGAGACGCGAAAGCCAGGGGAGCAAACGGG